GGGGGAAAUGACUGAAGCUGGUCAUCUGCAGGGUUAUCUGUGGAUCAGUGGCGAUUGCUCUAAGACUGCAAGGGAAGCUCGGCUUCCCUUAAAAUGUCACCCCCCCAAAAAGAAGAAAAAGUGUUGAAAUACGUACGGCUGUGUGUACAUUUCAUUAACUAAAUACGCACUAGAAAGCCUUCAACUUUUGUUCAGACACUGUGAUAAGAAGCUGAUAAUCACAGGUAACCGGCAUAACUUCGUUCUCAUUCAUCCUCGCAGCGCCUCAGCGCUUCAAACAGUCGGACGCUGGGCUUCUGCUGACUUCAAUGUGGAAGCUUAAAGUGGGUUGUUCCAGCAGCGAAACUAGACGCUCAUUGGAUAAAUGCUGGGCUUUGUCCCGCCCAAUGGAAGCUAAGCUUCACUGGAGUUCUAUGGCGAGAGGGCGGUCCCGACUUUCUCCCGGACUCCAAGCUUCUGCAUUCAUGAUUGGAUGAGCUGUCUGAGGCGAAAUCCUUUUUUGAUUGACAGCUAAACAAGCGAAUCAGCGAUCUUGAAGAAUAAAACAGCUACCAGAGCAUUUUCCAAGUCAUUCAUUCCGUUGUUCUUAACUGCUCCAGAGACUUUACCGAUCCUCAGCGACUUUUGUCUUUGUUAAAAACGACUGCCGUUGUGUUUGGCGACUCUGUUCUGUUACAUACUAAUAAACAAAUACAAUUAUGAUGUAGGCCAGAAAAAUGAGCUUCCCCUCCUUGAAAGACCAGCAGCCGCCACUGCUGUGGAUGUAUCAGCGGGUCAUUCAGAGAGAUUUUGUGGUUUCUGAAGAAACAAUCAAACUGAUGAUGAUCAACAUUUGUGAUCCAGAGGGAGUCGAGCUCCGACGAGCACCAUGUCUCUGACACCGGCGGUAACCUACACCUGCAGAGACACCAACACCUUAUAAUGGCAUAUAAUAAUAACCCCCCGCCAUCUUCAUGCUGUGAUUUAUAAGGUUCCCUGACAGGCGUCACACUUGGUUUUGCAGUAUGAAGUUAUUCUUUGUCUUUGUUUUUGGACUCAGAUGUGGUUUCAGAGCAGCAGAGAUCGACUCCCUUUUUCCUGCUAAAUAAAUCAACGAGAGACUUUUGUACUGGGUCAGGUAUACGACCUCCAUUUGAGCCAUUUUCACUCAUACAUUUUUGGGCACCUCUUCUGAGAUGAUGAGAUACACCCUAAAGAAUGUGUGUACCAAAUUUGGUGCUUUUAUCCACCGCAUAACAAUUUGGCCAUUUUUUCAGGUUAACAGACCCUACUAUGAGGUGGUGUGUUCGAGUCUUUUUUGGGACAAGGUGAAUUUUGAAGUCUAGUGUCUAGACAGGAAAUUGAAAGAGGAAACAAAUGGUGUAAUCCUGUGUCUCCAAGUGGCUCAGAGGAUAAGAACACUGACUGGGAUUCCUGAGGUCAUAGGUUCGAGUCCAACCUUGCCCAGUUCUAAGUGAAUUUUGAAAUCUAGUGUCCACAAAGUACAGUGAUAUAUGAAAAAAAAAAACAUGAUGGUCUUCUGUGUCCACAUGGCUCAGGGGAUAAGGAGACUGACUGGUACUCCUGAGAUUGUGGGUUCAAGUCUUACCCUGUCCAGUUCUAGGAGAAUUUUAAAGUCUCGAGUCCACAAAGGACAGCGAUAUGUGAAAAAAGAACCUAAUUCUCUUGUGUGUCCACAUGGCUCACAGGAUAAGGAGACUGUCUGGGACUCCUGAGGUGGUGUGUUCGAGCCUUUUUUGGGACAAGGUGAAUUUUGAAGUCUAGUGUCUAGACAGGAAAGUGAAAGGGGAAACAAGUGGUAUAAUCCUGUGUGUCCAAGUGGCGCAGGGGCUAAGAACACUGGCUGGAACUCCUGAGGUCAUAGGUUCGAGUCCAACCUUGCCCACUUCUAUGUGAAUUUUGAAAUCUAGUGUCUAGACAGGAAAGUGAAAGAGGAAACAAGUGGUAUAAUCCUGUGUGUCCAAGUGGCUCAGAGGAUAAGAACACUGGCUGGAACUCCUGAGGUCAUAGGUUCGAGUCCUACCUUACCUAGUUUUAGGAGAAUUUUAAAGUCUCGAGUCCACAAAGGACAGCGAUAUGUGAAAAAAAACAUGAUUGUCUUGUGUUUCACGAGCUCACAUCUCACUGUGCAUUCCUUGACUUUUAUUUUAUAGGGUCUAUAUAUAGCCUUCCUCACAUGUGGAACAAUUUGAAGAAGUAUGCAAUUACAUUGGGCACAUUUAUAUGAUGCUUUCACACCUUGUCAUUCUUUCUUGUAACACAGAAUCACAUUGAAAAGUGCUUUCGUUCCAUUCAUUGAGUGUAUUUUAUUAACAUGCAAAGGACCAGAUGUUACUUGACUGUUAUGCUGCACAUUAAAAAACCCAUCAGAGUGGUUAUUAAUACCACAGGCCUGAAUAUUAUGCACAUCAAGGCUUGGCACAGGCCUUCAGACAACCUGCCGCUGGGUUAUACUCUAAAAGGUCCUUGUACUGUUUGAUCAAGUGUUAACUAAGCGGCUACUGAAGAAGGAUUUACUGUAUCUGCAGAGUUUGGGUGGCUAUAGGUAUUGUGUGUGUGUUUGGGAUAUAAAUGGAGUGUUUAUAAGUUUUUUAAACAUAGAUUUUCAUUUUAGCGUCACUUGAAAUAAAUUGCAAUUGAAAGUUGGAGCUUGGGGUGGAAAGAGAGUUUAAUAAAUGAGCAGAAAACUUGUUUUUUAUUUGCUUUUGAUUUUGUUUGUUGGUGAUUUUUCAGAUUGUGAUCUGCUUCCUGCUAAAACUAUGAAAGCCCCACUUAAAAAAAAAAGGUGGAAAAGUAAAAAAGAAAAAAAUUUAACUCAUAAUUAUGACUUAGCAUCAGGCCUCCAUAUAAAACCUCAUCCAUGAAGAAGAUGCUGAAGAUAACUUCAGAUCUGCAGCGUCCGACUCAGCUGUGAAGGCCAACGUAAAAAUGGUCGAUGGUCAGUCCGGGUUCUAGAUGAAUCCAAAUUUAAUCUCAGUGUUUGUUCAUUAAAACAGAAGUAACAACAUCCAGGAAGUUUAAUUUGGUACAUUAAAACAUUGCACUUUGAUUGUAAUAAUGUAUAAUAGUUUUUCUCAUCUCAGAGUCUUUAUUUGUAUCUCUGCUCAAGUGUUCUGUGUAUUUGUAUUUUUCACAUGAGAACUGAUAUUUUUCUGAAAUUACCAUUAAAAUGUAUUUUUCUUACAAGCA
rnacentral:lncRNA from 1 species